rnacentral:rRNA from 1 species
UUGAACGCUGGCGGCAGGCCUCACACAUGCCAGUCGAACGGUAACAGGAAGAAGCUUGCUUCUUUGCUGACGAGUGGCGGACGGGUGAGUAAUGUCUGGGAAACUGCCUGAUGGAGGGGGAUAACUACUGGAAACGGUAGCUAAUACCGCAUAACGUCGCAAGACCAAAGAGGGGGACCUUCGGGCCUCUUGCCAUCGGAUGUGCCCAGAUGGGAUUAGCUAGUAGGUGGGGUAACGGCUCACCUAGGCGACGAUCCCUAGCUGGUCUGAGAGGAUGACCAGCCACACUGGAACUGAGACACGGUCCAGACUCCUACGGGAGGCAGCAGUGGGGAAUAUUGCACAAUGGGCGCAAGCCUGAUGCAGCCAUGCCGCGUGUAUGAAGAAGGCCUUCGGGUUGUAAAGUACUUUCAGCGGGGAGGAAGGGAGUAAAGUUAAUACCUUUACUCAUUGACGUUACCCGCAGAAGAAGCACCGGCUAACUCCGUG